GAUGAACGCUGGCGGUAUGCUUAACACAUGCAAGUCGAACGGUCUUUUCGGAGAUAGUGGCGGACGGGUGAGUAACGCGUGAGAAUCUAGCUCUAGGUUUGGGACAACCACUGGAAACGGUGGCUAAUACCGGAUAUGCCGAAAGGUGAAAGGUUAACUGCCUGGAGAUGAGCUCGCGUCUGAUUAGCUAGUUGGUAGGGUAAAAGCUUACUAAGGCGACGAUCAGUAGCUGGUCUGAGAGGACGAUCAGCCACACUGGGACUGAGACAC
rnacentral:rRNA from 1 species